rnacentral:rRNA from 1 species
AACGAACGCUGGCGGCAGGCUUAACACAUGCAAGUCGAGCGCCCCGCAAGGGGAGCGGCAGACGUGUGAGUAACGCGUGGGAAUCUACCCAUCUCUACGGAAUAACGCAUGGAAACGUGUGCUAAUACCGUAUACGUCCUUCGGGAGAAAGAUUUAUCGGAGAUGGAUGAGCCCGCGUUGGAUUAGCUAGUUGGUGGGGUAAAGGCCUACCAAGGCGACGAUCCAUAGCUGGUCUGAGAGGAUGAUCAGCCACACUGGGACUGAGACACGGCCCAGACUCCUACGGGAGGCAGCAGUGGGGAAUAUUGGACAAUGGGCGCAAGCCUGAUCCAGCCAUGCCGCGUGAGUGAUGAAGGCCCUAGGGUUGCAAAGCUCUUUCACCGGUGAAGAUAAUGACGGUAACCGGAGAAGAAGCCCCGGCUAACAUCGUGCCAGCCGCCGCUGUAACAC